CUUUAAGUCUUUACCGGUUUAGACAUAAAAAUGAUUCAAUCAAUCAGCUCUUAAAUUAGCAAGCGGCAUGGUGUUUGGUGUUGGGAUGGACGAACAGAGGAUUAAUAAAUAUAACGGGAUCUUAUCGGGAGAUGCUUGAUGGUGCUUGCUCCUGUUCGUCGCGAAUGGAAGAUCAGACCAGGGUUGUGGUAUGUCAAACGAUGAACUAUGUACAUGUGCGUUAGGGGAGAGAGGGACAUAUGACGGGGGAGCAGCAUGAGGACAUUAGGGACCAGUGAAGUUUUUUUAUAUGAAACCAGACUAUGACAGAUUAAACCUUGUGUUGUUGUUAGAAUUAUUUGUAUGAGUUGGUGUAAUUUUGUUGUCUCGUUUUUAUUUUUUUUGUGUUAAAUAACUCGUAGAUUUUUAAUGUAUUUGGUCGCUAAUAAAAGUAAGGUUAAAGAAGCUUUUUUCAAUCGGCAUUAAAUAGUUGGUAUUCUAAUAAGUAAUGAAAUUCACCCGCAAUUUUGUUACAGGCUGUACAGGUUCUUAAAUCUAUAGGUGUUCUGUUCCAAUUUCCAACUUCAAUCGGUAGCCUGUGGUUUCUUGUCCUGAUUCUGAUUACAAUAUAUCUAUUUCAUGUAUACAUAGGCAAAAGAGGAUUAAUAUAUAAAAGAACACAACAUUCAUUUGGGAGUACAUGUUUCUGUCCACAAAGCCCUUAACAGAGUAAA